GGUAGUCCACGCCGUAAACGAUGUCGACUUGGAGGUUGUUCCCUUGAGGAGUGGCUUCCGGAGCUAACGCGUUAAGUCGACCGCCUGGGGAGUACGGCCGCAAGGUUAAAACUCAAAUGAAUUGACGGGGGCCCGCACAAGCGGUGGAGCAUGUGGUUUAAUUCGAUGCAACGCGAAGAACCUUACCUACUCUUGACAUCCAGAGAACUUAGCAGAGAUGCUUUGGUGCCUUCGGGAACUCUGAGACAGGUGCUGCAUGGCUGUCGUCAGCUCGUGUUGUGAAAUGUUGGGUUAAGUCCCGCAACGAGCGCAACCCUUAUCCUUUGUUGCCAGCGGUUCGGCCGGGAACUCAAAGGAGACUGCCAGUGAUAAACUGGAGGAAGGUGGGGAUGACGUCAAGUCAUCAUGGCCCUUACGGGUAGGGCUACACACGUGCUACAAUGGCAUAUACAAAGAGAAGCGACCUCGCGAGAGCAAGCGGACCUCAUAAAGUAUGUCGUAGUCCGGAUUGGAGUCUGCAACUCGACUCCAUGAAGUCGGAAUCGCUAGUAAUCGUAGAUCAGAAUGCUACGGUGAAUACGUUCCCGGGCCUUGUACACACCGCCCGUCACACCAUGGGGAGUGGGUUGCAAAAGAAGUAGGUAGCUUAACCUUCGGGAGGGCGCUUACCACUUUGUGAUUCAUGACUGGGG
rnacentral:rRNA from 1 species